GUCACGUCGCACUGAGAUUAGACGUCUCAAAUCCACAUCUGUUUCUGUGGGAAUCAGUCUGCUGCCUCUUUGGUCAUUUUCUGUCAACGAGAGUGAACCAGACGUGCUGCAAGUGUGCAGAAAACUCCAAAUCUGACUGAACUACUUCAUCAAAGACUCCUUGAGACAGAAGCAAAAAGAAAAAUAAGCUCAUUAAAUCCCUGCAACCAUCUGAAGGCUGAUAAAUCUGCAGCCUUCAAUUUGAAAAAAUGCUGCUGCAGAGAGCAGUGCCAUUAUGCAACAAACGUUGGAUUACUGGGACUCAUCAAUUCUGCGCAACACCUCUUGUUGUUCCCCAAGAGGGUGUUUCAAGUUUUCCUUUUGAUAUUCAGCGCAAUCACUGCUGCAUCACGUCAAGAACAAUUUGAUGUGGCCGUGUUACAUUGGAGUGAUGAAAUGAUGUAUUCUGUGUGGUAAAUGGUAUAUGCAUCA